UACGUAGGGUGCAAGCGUUAAUCGGAAUUACUGGGCGUAAAGCGUGCGCAGGCGGUUAUGUAAGACAGAUGUGAAAUGCCCGGGCUUAACCUGGGAACUGCAUUUGUGACCGCAUGGCUAGAGUUUGGCAGAGGGGGGUAGAAUUCCACGUGUAGCAGUGAAAUGCGUAGAUAUGUGGAGGAACACCGAUGGCGAAGGCAGCCCCCUGGGUCAAGACUGACGCUCAUGCACGAAAGCGUGGGGAGCAAACAGG
rnacentral:rRNA from 1 species